CCCAGGCAGAUCAGGCGUCGGGGAAGGAGACCCGCCCCACCCCUCCGGGGGUGAUCAAGAAGAAGCUGCUGCCAAUGGAGAGGAGGCCUCCGGGUGGGGAGAGCUGCCCCAAAGGCCCCGGUUUCCCUCAGGGGUCACUUGGAAUCAUAAUAACCACAACAGGUGCCUUCAGACUGGACCAAAACAUUCUUAGAUGCCUGGACCUCCCACGGUGGCCUUUAGCUGAGUCUGCUCAUCUGCACAUCCACACAGAAGCGUCUUUCCCAGGGCAGGGGCCCAUUUGUGGAACCACACUAAGCUGAGGAGCCUUCUAACCAAGGCGAAAGAAGAAAGUGCAAAAGCUGGGUUGCAGUUAAACAUCACAGCAACUCCCAGCCACGGUGGCACAAAGGGUUAAACCCUUGACUUGAAGAUUGCGUUGCUGAUCUGUAGGUUGCUGGUUCAAAUCCAACCUGGGGAGAGCAUGGAUGAGCUCCCUCUGUUCAGCUCCAGCUCCAUGCGCGGACAUAGAAUCAUGGAGUUGGAAGAAACAUCAUGGGCCAUCCAGUCCAACCCCCUGCCAAGAAGCAGAAAUCACAUUCAAAGCACUCCCGACAGAUAGCCAUCCAGCCUCUGCUUAAAAGCCUCCGAUGAAGGAGUUUCCACCAGACCCAGGGCAGAGAGUUCCAGUGCUGAACAGCUCUGACAGUGAAGAAGUUCUUCCUAAUGUUCAGGCGGAAUCUCUUUUCAUGUAGUUUGAAGCCAUUGCUUCAUGUCCUAAUUUCCAGGGCAGCAGAAAACAAGCUUGCUCCCUCCUCCCUAUGACUUCCUCUCACAUAUUUAUACAUAGCUAUCAUGUCUCCUCUCAGCCUUCUCUUCUGUAAGCUAAACACGCCCAGCUCUUUAAGCCACUCCUCAUAGGGCUUCUUCUCCAGACUCUUGAUCAUUUUAAUCGUUCUCCUCUGGACACAUUCAGUUUGUCAACAUCUUCUUUCAAUUGUGGUGCCCGGAAUUGGACCCAGUAUUCCAGGUGUGAUCUGACUAAGGCAGAAUAGAGGGGGAGCAUGACUUCCCUGGAUCUAGACACUAGACUCCUAUUGAUGGAGGCCAAAAUCCCAUAUGGCCUUUUUAACCACUGCAUCACAUUGUUGGCUCAUGUUUAACUCGUUGUCCACAAGGACUCCAAGAUCCUUUUCACAUGUACUGCUGUUGAGCCAGGCAUCCCACAUUCUGUAUCUUUGCAAGUGGAGCAUCUUGCAUUUGUACCUGUUGAACUUCAUUUUGUUAGUUUCGGCCCAUCUCUCUAAUCUGUUAAGAUCGUUUUGAAUUCUGUUCCUGUCUUCUGGAGUAUUCGCUAUCCCUCCCAAUUUGGUGUCAUCUGCAAACUUGAUGAUCAUGCCUUCUAAACCUUCAUCUAAGUCAUUAAUAAAGAUGAGAGAAGCCUCCCACAAGGAUGGUAAAACAUCAAACAUACAGGCGUCCCCUGAGCAACGUCCUUGCAGACAGCCAAUUCUCUCACACCAAAAGCGACUUAUAAUUUCUCAAAUUGCUCCUGACACAGAGAAAAUAAAGUUUAACAUCAAAAAAACCCAAGAUGACGGCAACCAGACUGAUUGAUAACCGGCAAAUAGAGGGAGAAAACAUGGAGGCAGUGACAGACCUUGUAUUUCUAGGCACGAAGAUGACUGAAGAUGCAGACCGCAGCCAGGAAAUCAGAAGACGUUUACUUCUUGGGAGGAGAACAAUGACCAAUCUCAAUAACAGAGUGAAGAGCAAAGACAUCACACUGACAAAGAAGGUUCACAUAAUUAAAGCAAUAGUAUUCCCUGUAAUAACCUAUGGAUGUGAGAGCUGAACCAUAAGGAAGACUGAGAGAAGCAAGAUAGACGCUUUUGAACUGUGGUGUUGGAUGAAAAUGCUGAGAGUGCCUUGGACCGCAAGAUCCAACCAGUCCAUCCUCCAGGAAAUAAUGCCCGGCUGCUCACUGGAGGGAAGGAUAUUAGAGGCAAAGAUGAAUGAAAUACUUUGGCCGCAUAAUGAGAAGACAGGAAAGCUUGGAGAAGAUAAUGAUGCUUGGGGUAUUUUUGUCCUUAGCUAUGAUAAACCUCUCACAUCACAGAAACCUCUUUUAUAGUGACAGAUGGCCAAACUCAAGAUUCUCACAGAAUUUUGGGAGCUGGAGACACUGAAGCAAUACGUCAAGACCAACUACAGGACUGAAAAUGAUGGAAAGGGACUGUAUUAUUCUAUCUCUCUCUCUAAGCAAUAUAAGGAAUGGUUGCUGGGAAUCAAAAAGAUUUCAUUCUCAAGUGGUCCUUCUUAGUUAUUUAUUUUAUUUAUUUCUCACAUUUAUAUCCUGCCCUUCUCACCUGAAGGGACUCAGGGCGGCUUACAGAAAUGGCAGCAAUUCGAUGCCCAUACAAAAACAAUGUCAAAACAAUGCAUAAACAAUUAAAAACUAUUAAAAUACAAUAUAAGUUACAUGAAAUCAGAUCCGUUCAUCCUAAAAAACCUCAUGCUUUGUCCGUAGUUACACACUUUUGCAUGUGCACUCCCAGAUUGGGAAGUAUGAUGAUGAUGAUGAUGAUGAUGAUGAUGAUGAUGAUGAUGAUAGCUUUAUUUAUAUUGCACUCCCUCUCCCCACCAGGACUCAGAGUGGCUUACAACGGUAUAAAAUCACAGAAUACAUAGUAAAACAAAUAGAUAUUUCAAAUCAAAUACACAACCAACACUAACCAGAUAGACAUUUUGUCCUAUACUGCCUGGUUCAUGGACAUUUAUAGACGUUCCAGGCAUGACUGUGUACCAUUUACAGCCAUCCAGUGUUUUCCCGUCUUUUUUCCUAGAGAAAAUCCACUGAAGACAAAAGGCAGAAUAGCUGCCAUUGCCUGAGGCAAAUAAACAGUAGGCUGUCUCUUUCAACAGCAACCACAUCAGCUUUGUGAAUUCUGCCAAAUCAGUGUUUAUCCUGUGGGAGGAAAACAAAACACAAAGACAGACAAUAUCCUCUUCAAAAAGCUGCAGGCAGCUGUUUUCCUUCCAAAUGAUCUGCUUUAGUUAGUGGAUGAAGAGCUGCUCCACUUGGGAGACAAGGUAGCAAAGGAGACGCAGAUGAACAAUUAUUCUCAGUGCUCCAUUGAAUACAAGCUCCAAAGAGCUGCCACUGCCCACCAUUUUUCUACUCAGGGAUUCAAAUAUGCCAAAAGAGCUACCAGGGUUGAGAGGGUAAAGGAAGUUGGUCAAAACAAGACUUCACAAGCAGCUAAAAGGAUAAUUUGAAGGCAAAUAUUCUAGAACAUGGCCAUACAGCCCAGAAUACAUACAACAACCCUGUGAUCCCAGCCAUGAAAGCCUUCGACAACACAAUUAUUUUUCCACAGCUCCAUGUUCCUUUAUAUUGUAAGAAAUUAGAUAGGUAUGAAAACUGAAGGCAUACAAAACAGGAUAGGUAGAUGACACAAAAAGAUAGCUGCUGCCUCAGACAAUGGGCUCAUCCAGCUAUGGUUAGCCAUUAGCUGGAGCCUCCGGUGGCCUAGGGGAUAAAAGCCUUGUGACUUGAAGGUUGGGUUGCUGACCUGAAGGCUGCCAGGUUCGAAUCCCACCCAGGGAGAGCGCAGAUGAGCUCCCUCUCUCAGCUCCAGCUCCAUACGGGGACAUGAGAGAAGCCUCCCACAAGGAUGGUAAAACAUCAAAAACAUCCAGGCGUCCCCUGGGCAACGUCCUUGCAGACGGCCAAUUCUUUCACACCAGAAGCAACUCAGGUUGCUCCUAACACGAAAAAAAAGCCAUUCGCUUCUGGGAAGCCUCUGAUACCCUCCCAUGAAUGCUCUCUGCUCAGCUAUGAAUGCUAUUAGCUUUCAAUCUGUCCAUCAAUCUCUCUAAUUCUAAAAAAAAAACACAACUAUUCAGAUAAGAGACUGUGUCAGAAAUACUGAUUUCUGAACUGUCACUCACAUUCAGAGAUCUCCACUCUCAAUGUUUUGGUAUCCAGUGUCUAACUGAUGUAGAGUUAUUUAGCUACAAGCUAAAUAUCUUUAAUAUGUUGCAGAAAGUUGAACUAAAUCUCCAAUACAUCCUUUAAUUCUAAGAUUUUCUUAGUGGACCACUUCAAAAACCUAGUACAUAAGGUGAUGUUUGUGAAUACUUUCUUGUAUUAAACAAACCCAAAUAUAACUAGAAUCUUCUAACAUGCAAGCUUUAUGCAAACAGGGAUGUUUUCAGAUAUCUUCUCUGAUACUUUACAGAUAUCUCCUCAGAUAUCCCCUGGAACAUGGGAGGAACAUUUGACUAUACCCAAAUUAAUAUUUUCAGUACAAACCCAAGGGACCUAUAAAAUGAUUGAUAUCCACUAAUAUGGCAUGUGGGCUCAAACUUCAUGAGGUUAUCAGUGAUAGUUGAUAGAUGAGUGGUUCUCAACCUGUGAGUCCCCAGGUGUUUUGGCCUACAACUCCCAGGAAUCCCAGCCAGUUUACCAGCUGUUAGGAUUUCUGGGAGUUGAAGGUCAAAACAUCUGGGGACCCACAGGUUGAGAACCACUGUGAUAGAUGUUUCUGAUUUUAUUGAAUGUUUGCAUUGAACUUUGGUCCAUAUUGUUGUGUAAUGUUCAAAUAAUUAGUUGUUUUUCUUGAUUGUAUACAAAAUACUCGUUAUGCGCAUUUAACAAAUAAUACUAUAAAAUACAAGCACAUCAUGAAAUAUGUUAACAGAAGAGUUUUGAAAUGGUAUUCAGGUGUACAUGGGGUGGGGGCUAAACUCUUUAAAUGGUACUGAGAAUAGACAUCACUAGAGUUACGAUUUGGAUGGCAUGAGUCAAGGAUAUUACACCAAUUCUCAGCUUUUGUCUUGUCUGUGGAUAGUGGUAAUUGCAAUUCAGGGUAAGUGGUAGCAACUGAUUAGGGAAGCUCUAAUACAAAUAAUCAGAAGCAUUCAAGCUAUCGUUUACUCAGUUGUUCACUAUGAAAUAAGGACACUUGCAGAAUUUUGAUCUAUGAAUGCAAAAGUAAUUGAUGUUAGUGAAACAUUUAAGAGAAGCAGUGAUACACUCUGUUUAAUUUUCAGAUUUUUUUCGUGUCAGGAGCGACUUGAGAAACUGCAAGUCGCUUCUGGAGUGAAAGAAUUGGCCGUCUGCAAGGACGUUGCCUAGGAGAUGUCUGGAUGUUUUGAUGUUUCUACCAUCCUUGUAGGAGGCUUUUCUCAUGUCCCCACAUGGAACUGGAGCUGACAGAGGGAGCUCAUCUGCGUUCUCCCCAGGUUGGAUUCGAACCGGCAACCUUCAGGUCAGCAACCCAACCUUCAAGUCAGCAGUCUGCCGGCACAAGUUUUUAACCCAUUGCGCCACCAGGGGCUCCUAAUUUUCAGAUACUGACCAAGGAAGAUGGGUAUAGUGGACCUUUCACGUGUAAGGAACUCUGUUCAAAACAGGUUAGUCUUCUUUGAUGAAGGGAAACCUGGAGAACAUUUUUGUGGCAAUUGCUUGCAGACACAAUGGAUGCAUAAUGCAUACACAUAGUUGCCCCUUUUUGUUGCAGAGAGAUUCGGAGAUGCUUCAGCAGAAGACGUGACAGCAAGCAGGAUCACUAACACCUCUAUCUGCCAAGAGACCACUCUUAUCUGACACUGUCAGCAAAUCCAUCAGCUCAGCAGCGAGACAUUUGAGAUUUUCAUUCAGCUGUAUACAAUCUAGCUGAGUAUUAUGGGAAUGCUUUAACCAGUGGACAGGUUCUAACAUUUUGGCUUGGAACUCUGCUUUCAAAAUAUUCUUCUGGAUAGCCAAAUAGUGCAAAACAUUUUAUAUAUGAACUAGGACACCAACAGGACAAGAAAAGGAUAUAAGGAGUGUUCAAUCUUUCCUACGCUCUUAAUGACUUUGUUGAGCCUGUUCUGCACAUCCAGUAGGAGGUUAUACCAGCUUUCUGAUAGUGAAGUCACCAGCCCUGUGAAAGGAAAAAAACAACUGUUAUAAUCUUUUUUUUUUAAACAAAACACCAAGACCAAUUGUUACUCUUCAAGGACUUAUUUUGGCCAACACACACUUGUUGCAUACUGUCUUUAUCUAACAUUGAUUUACAAAAUAUAACUUUGUGACUCCUAUUUUUCUCUCUCUUGUUGUCUCAGUUACUCUAAUUCUUUUUAAAAGCUUAGCAUUUUGCUACUAGUGUUACCCAGGCCAAGCUCCAUAUUCAAAAGUCUGCCAAGAGGGAUGAGAACGUUAUCCUCCUGCUAUUUAGGGAGAUAGCAGAGUCCCUGCAUGGCUCUAACCUUACCAAUCAUUCCAUUGACUGUGCCAAAGAGAACAGAGCCCUGUGUCGGCGUGGAUGUUUCACCAAGAUUCUGCAUGACCAGGGACCCAUGGCAGAAGACAUUCACAAAUUCGCCCAAAUGGAAGAGCCCAAACUCCUGCAGGUGCUGACGUUCCUCAUCUGUCGUGGCAGCACUGCAAGACAGAAUGCCUGUUAGGAAAAGGGACAGAACAACAUCUUCCUCACCCUCACUUGCUACUGAAGAGGCCAAUUGCUUCCCUUAGUACUUCUAUUAGAGCAGUGGUUCUCAACCUGGGGUCCCCAGAUAUUUUUGGCCUACAACUCCCAGAAAUCCAAACAGCUAGUAAACUGGCUGGGAUUCCUGGGAGUUGUAGGCCAAAAACAUCUGGGGAGCCCAGGUUGAGAACCACUGUAUUAGAGGAAGGGAUCUCACCUGUCCUUCUGGCACACAAACAAAUUGAAAGCAUUCUCUGCCCCUAGGAAGUUGUCGUCAUCCAAAAUCUCCACAGCACUCAUCCAAUUUGGAUUAAAGUCACGGGCGAUCUAAAAAGAGAUAUAGAAAGCACUUGCAACACAAAAUUGAUGUGGCCCUAAUCUUUACCUGUGAGUGAAAAUUCUAAGCAACUGUCAAACUAUUCCAACAAAUGUUCACAUUACAAUUAGAAUACCAAUUUUGGAUGGCAGAUAUUGAAUUCUGGCAAGUUACUGUUUCAGCGUAAAUCGUCUAACUUGAAGGAGACCAUGUUUCUAUUUCAAAUGUCACUUGCCUUGUUAGGGCUGACUCUGUUGUUUUUCAAUGUUUAUCUUAAUAUUUGCAGACACCCUGUAUUUGCAUUCUAUACUCGGGCAACAUCUUUUAGGGAGAAAGAAGUAACUUAAAGUUAAGCUAACUCUGUGGAGUAAACAGGCACCUGAGGCACCUACCUCAUGUUGUCUAAUGCAAAGACUGGCAAUCACUGAAGUUUGGCACAUACACAUGCCCCCCCCCCCCCCCAGUAACGAUUAAGAUUUUCAGUCCCUGCCCUGUUUUUUUGCUCAAUUUUUAAAAUUUAGAAUGCUCCCUGCACCCCAAGAGUUUUGGAAAGAUGUUGCUUGAAUCAGGAAAUACAAUGAAAAUGGGGAUGAGAGCCUCAAAAACAGCCUGCACCUUCUUUAUCCCUAGUCUAAUGUUAAGAGCAGCCCUGAGUAGGUCUGACAAUCUAUGUUGAAAGUCCUACCCAAAAUCAGAAUAUCAUAAUCAAACAUACAGAGAAACAGACCUCCCCAUCAAAUCGCCUUUUUUCUGAAGUCCAUCCACUGAAGUAGAAAUAGAAAAACUACCUCUUCAAAGUUCCCUUCCAUGGGUUUGUACGCAAGCAGAAGGACAGAGCGCAUCAGAUCUCCGACUAAGAUGAAGUCGCCCUUUGUCUUUACAUAGAGUGCCAUGAUAUUGUUGUAAUGAUUGCAUUCUGUGCGUAGCUCCUUUUCUGCUGUCCACUCAUACAGCCGAACCUGGAAAACAAGCCAGACCUCUAAAAGCCAAUGCUGAAACCAUCAGGUACAAGACCACCAGGGUCCAAAAUGCUUAUCCUCCUCAUUUAAGGAAGGACACUAAUGGGAGAGUCCCUGGGAACCUUACCGUGCUGUUUAUGCUGGCUAAGAGUUUUCCAUUGAAUUCUACCAUGGAAUAGACAGCCCCUUUCACUUCUUUCUCAGCCACCGUUUGCAAUUUACCUGGGAUUAAUAAAACAGAACUUGAAAAAUGCACGGUCCAUGAGGCUUCCAAAAUGCAAAGAGUUACACUCAAAUACCUAGCACAGCGUGGUUGCAAUGCUUAUCCCUAUCAGAGGUGUUGUGGCAAUGACAUAACUCACAUUAGUAUCUGAUAUACCAUUGGUUUGUACAGCGUUUAUUAUCUGUCUGCUUCCCUGAGUCCUUUCCUGAUACAACACUGAAAAAAAAUCACAUUAAUAUUCAAGCUCCCCAAUAGUGCUUUUUCACUGUUAUUAAAUAUAUCUAUUUCAGCGGCUCAAGACCAUGAGAAUAAUUCCAUCAAAAGCUUCCAUUUUACUGGUGAAAAUGUGCUACCCAUUCUUUUGCUGUGGUGGGUAGGAUAUAAUUAUUAACUUGCAAGCAGGGGCUGAGUUGCUUUUAUUUGUCUGUAAGAUGUAUUGGUAGCCAUUCUAGCUGAAGAUCAGAAUAUAAAUGUGAUAAACAUAGAAAACAAAAAUAAACUUUGAAGAAAUGUAUGGCCACCUUUGGAAAGGGGCCACCUGAUUUGUUUCUCCACAUCUUUGCCCGUCUGACUCUGCUGGGAUCCUGAGACUGAUCUCAAGAGGUCUCUUUUUUAUUAUUUCCCCAACAUGUGGUGGAAUAUCCUGUUCUUAAACAGAAUGGCUGGCUAUCUAUUGGGAGUGCUUUGAUUGUUUAUUCCUGCAUGGCAGGGUGUUCAACUGGAUGGCCCUUGUAGUCUUUUCAGACUAUGAUUCGAUGAAGUAAGGUGGGAGCAUACUAAUUAAAAUGACUUUUUCCAUUAUCAUGGGCAACAGGAUGCUCUACUCAAAUUUAACUAGUUUAUCUAUUAUUCUGAGGCUUCUGGUGCUAAUUAAAGGCUUUUGAUUUUCCUAGGCCUUUUAAUGUAUUGUUUUUAAAUCUAUAAUUUACCAUACUUCAUUGCAUAAUUGUUGCACUUUUUACCCUCUUUUGUUGGUAAAAAUGGGAGUGCAACUAUUAUGCGAUCAAAUAAAAUUUGUGCUUUGUUUGCAGGAUUCUGGUUAAAUACAAAAACUGUCUUACCCCCAAAACAAGGAAGAUAGAGGGAGAGCUCAUUGUUUGCUUAAACUGUCUUUGAGGGGGAAAAGGAUAUCCUCAGUUUUAUAAACACCUGCCAUGUUUACAAGAAAGGGAAAAAAAACAUUUUGGGACCCCCAAAAUGAGGGUGUGUGACUAUUAUGUGACAAAAUACGGUAUUUUUGUUGCUUUCAAAGUGUUUCACUACAGUAACAUCAUUCUCUGAUAGAUUACAUUUUAUGUAUAGUUGCAUCUCAUUAUUAUAGUAUACAAUGGACCACUUAUAAAUAUAUUAACAAAUUAAAAUGUUAAAAUGC